rnacentral:rRNA from 1 species
GUCCACGCCGUAAACGAUGGAUACUAGCUGUUGGGAGCAAUCUCAGUGGCUAAGCGAAAGUGAUAAGUAUCCCACCUGGGGAGUACGUUCGCAAGAAUGAAACUCAAAGGAAUUGACGGGGGCCCCGCACAAGCGGUGGAGCAUGUGGUUUAAUUCGAUGAUACGCGAGGAACCUUACCAAGGCUUAAAUGUAGUCUGACAGGCGUGGAAACAUGCUUUUCUCGGACAGAUUACAAGGUGCUGCAUGGUUGUCGU